rnacentral:rRNA from 1 species
GAUGAACGCUGGCGGCGUGCUUAACACAUGCAAGUCGAACGGAAAGGCCCAAGCUUGCUUGGGUACUCGAGUGGCGAACGGGUGAGUAACACGUGGGUGAUCUGCCCUGCACUUCGGGAUAAGCCUGGGAAACUGGGUCUAAUACCGGAUAGGACGAUGGUUUGGAUGCCAUUGUGGAAAGUUUUUUCGGUGUGGGAUGAGCUCGCGGCCUAUCAGCUUGUUGGUGGGGUAAUGGCCUACCAAGGCGUCGACGGGUAGCCGGCCUGAGAGGGUGUACGGCCACAUUGGGACUGGGAUACGGCCCAAACCCCUACGGGGGGACGCAGGGGGGAAUAUUGACAAAGGGGGGAAAGCCUGAUGCAGCGACCCCGGGGGGGGGAUGACGGCCUUCGGGUUGUAAACUCCUUUCCCAAGGGACGAGGCUUUUUUGGGGGGGUACCGGGAAAAAAAGCACCGGCAAACUCCGU